rnacentral:siRNA from 1 species
CUGUAUUGUGCUCUAUAUUUGUA